rnacentral:rRNA from 1 species
UGGGGAAUUUUGGACAAUGGGCGAAAGCCUGAUCCAGCAAUGUCGCGUGUGUGAAGAAGGCCUUCGGGUUGUAAAGCACUUUUGUCCGGAAAGAAAUCCUUGGCUCUAAUACAGUCGGGGGAUGACGGUACCGGAAGAAUAAGCACCGGCUAACUACGUGCCAGCAGCCGCGGUAAUACGUAGGGUGCAAGCGUUAAUCGGAAUUACUGGGCGUAAAGCGUGCGCAGGCGGUUUGCUAAGACCGAUGUGAAAUCCCCGGGCUCAACCUGGGAACUGCAUUGGUGACUGGCAGGCUAGAGUAUGGCAGAGGGGGGUAGAAUUCCACGUGUAGCAGUGAAAUGGCGUAGAGAUGUGGAGGAAUACCGAUGGCGAAGGCAGCCCCCUGGGCCAAUACUGACGCUCAUGCACGAAAGCGUGGGGAGCAAACAGGAUUAGAUACCCUGGUAGUCCACGCCCUAAACGAUGUCAACUAGUUGUUGGGGAUUCAUUUCCUUAGUAACGUAGCUAACGCGUGAAGUUGACCGCCUGGGGAGUACGGUCGCAAGAUUAAAACUCAAAUGAAUUGACGGGGUCAUAGCUGUUUCCU